GUGCCAGCAGCCGCGGUAAUACGGAGGGGGCUAGCGUUAUUCGGAAUUACUGGGCGUAAAGCGCACGUAGGCGGACUGGAAAGUCAGAGGUGAAAUCCCAGGGCUCAACCUUGGAACUGCCUUUGAAACUCCCAGUCUUGAGGUCGAGAGAGGUGAGUGGAAUUCCGAGUGUAGAGGUGAAAUUCGUAGAUAUUCGGAGGAACACCAGUGGCGAAGGCGGCUCACUGGCUCGAUACUGACGCUGAGGUGCGAAAGCGUGGGGAGCAAACAGGAUUAGAUACCCGGGUAGUCC
rnacentral:rRNA from 1 species